rnacentral:tRNA from 1 species
GUGGGGCUGGGGCUCAGUGAUAGAGCACUUGCCUAGUAUGUGUGAGGCAUUGGGUUCGAUUCUCAGCACCACA